AAGAUUUAUUUAUUUAUUUAUUUAUUUAUUUAUUUGACAGAGAGAGAGAGACAGCCAGCGAGAGAGGGAACACAGCAGGGGGAGUGGGAGAGGAAGAAGCAGGCUCCCAGCAGAGAAGCCUGAUAUGGGGCUCGAUUCCAGAACGUCAGGAUCACGCCCUGAGCCGAAGGCAGACGCUUAACAACUGCACCAUCCAGGCGCCCCUGCAUGGUUUUUUUCUAAUAUUGUCCUCACUGAAAGAAGCUCAGACCAAGGAACAGAAAAGAAGUUUAAUACGUGGUUCCUAUGGAGACACUGAUGCUUGAUCUACCCAGUUACCUCUGUGUUCAGUUACUGAUGGUCUGUCGCAACUUGACAGAACCGAGAAGGGGUGACAUGCCAAGCAGCCAUGUAGGAGCCCGUGUGGAAGAGGACAAAACCCCAAUCUGCUCAUGAGUCUGAGCCACUCCCUCAAGACGAAGGUCAGAAACAAAGCAGGUACUGGACACAGUGGCCAGUUUCAGGUGCUUUGUGGACAUAUCUAAAACGAGUUAAUUGAGAAGAAACUUCACAUGAUAUUUUCCCGAGUGAGAACAUCCUGAAUUUUAGCUUCUUAAGCUGUUAAGAAGUUAAUGGAUUUUGGGAAUUUUUAUUGUUAAAUAUUCCAGAUAGCUAAUCUCUAAUCAUCAGAUGUCAUAGAAUCUGGUAAAAUUUAUUUGAAUUUUACAACUUAAAAUGCUAACUUUUAAAAAAUAGAACAUAUUGUGUGAUAUAUAAGGCAUAAGUAUUCAAUGUGGUGAAACUUGUUUAAAUUUCUAUUUUCAGAUUUGGGAGGCUACAAUCAAGGUCAUUUGAGAAGUAGGACCCAGUGCGGUGCGGGUGUCCACAAAGAAAUUUACAGACGUGGGAAAGGCUAGAUAAUGAGAAUGCUCCAUAAGGAGGCACUGAAUUUCACCAGGGAGAAAUGCAUCUAAGUUGCUUCACAAACGUUAAGAAAUAUACCUACGUAAUUGUAUGUUGCAUUUUCCAUGGUCUUUGCUUUGUUCAUUUCAUGUGCAGUGAUUAAAAAGAGAUAUUGUACAUUUUAUUAUCUCUUAUGUUGUCCAAUAAAUACAAACCUGGAGUGCUUUUUUUUUUUCUU
rnacentral:lncRNA from 1 species